rnacentral:ncRNA from 1 species
GCGGAUGCCAAGUUGCCAGAUAUGCAAGCAGGUUGGGAACAGGCAACAUCAAGUGUAAUGGCAGGUCUUGCAGGCCUUAACAUGGUGUAUGAGGCC